rnacentral:tRNA from 1 species
AGGUUAGAGUAUAAACAAAUUGGUUUCGGCCCAAUCUCUUGAACUAAUAGUUCACUAACCUU